UACGUAGGGCGCAAGCGUUGUCCGGAAUUAUUGGGCGUAAAGAGCUCGUAGGCGGCUUGUCACGUCGGUUGUGAAAGCCCGGGGCUUAACCCCGGGUCUGCAGUCGAUACGGGCUAGCUAGAGUGUGGUAGGGGAGAUCGGAAUUCCUGGUGUAGCGGUGAAAUGCGCAGAUAUCAGGAGGAACACCGGUGGCGAAGGCA
rnacentral:rRNA from 1 species